UACGUAGGGACCAAGCGUUGUUCGGAUUUACUGGGCGUAAAGGGCGCGUAGGCGGCAAUUCAAGUCACUUGUGAAAUCUCCGAGCUUAACUCGGAACGGUCAAGUGAUACUGCUUUGCUAGAGUGCAGAAGGGGCAACCGGAAUUCUUGGUGUAGCGGUGAAAUGCGUAGAUAUCAAGAGGAACACCGGAGGUGAAGACGGGUUGCUGGGCUGACACUGACUGAGGCGCGAAAGCUAGGGUAGCAAACGGG
rnacentral:rRNA from 1 species